rnacentral:rRNA from 1 species
GACGAACGCUGGCGGCGUGCUUAACACAUGCAAGUCGAACGGAAAGGCCCUGCUUUUGUGGGGUGCUCGAUUGGCGAACGGGUGAGUAACACGUGAGUAACCUGCCCUUGACUUUGGUAUAACUUCAGGAAACUGGGGCUAAUACCGGAUAGGAUCUCCUGCUGCAUGGUGGGGGUUGGAAAUUUUCGGCGGUUGGGGAUGGACUCGCGGCUUAUCAGCUUGUUGGUGGGGUAGUGGCUUACCAAGGCUUUGACGGGUAGCCGGCCUGAGAGGGUGACCGGCCACAUUGGGACUGAGAUACGGCCCAGACUCCUACGGGAGGCAGCAGUGGGGAAUAUUGCACAAUGGGCGGAAGCCUGAUGCAGCAACGCCGCGUGCGGGAUGACGGCCUUCGGGUUGUAAACCGCUUUCGCCUGUGACGAAGCGUGAGUGACGGUAAUGGGUAAAGAAGCACCGGCUAACUACGUG